GCGACCAUACCAGGUUGGAAACACCGGUUCUCAUCUGAUCAUCGAAGUUACAUAACGUCGUACCUGGUUAAUGCUUGCAUGGGUGACUGGCAAGGAAUACCUGGCUUUGCGGAUUUU
rnacentral:rRNA from 1 species